CAGGCUUAACACAUGCAAGUCGAGGGGCAUCAGGAAGAAAGCUUGCUUUCUUUGCUGGCGACCGGCGCACGGGUGAGUAACACGUAUCCAACCUGCCCUUUACUCGGGGAUAGCCUUUCGAAAGAAAGAUUAAUACCCGAUAGCAUAAUGAUUCCGCAUGGUUUCAUUAUUAAAGGAUUCCGGUAAAGGAUGGGGAUGCGUUCCAUUAGGUUGUUGGUGAGGUAACGGCCCACCAAGCCUUCGAUGGAUAGGGGUUCUGAGAGGAAGGUCCCCCACAUUGGAACUGAGACACGGUCCAAACUCCUACGGGAGGCAGCAGUGAGGAAUAUUGGUCAAUGGGCGCUAGCCUGAACCAGCCAAGUAGCGUGAAGGAUGAAGGCUCUAUGGGUCGUAAACUUCUUUUAUAUAAGAAUAAAGUGCAGUAUGUAUACUGUUUUGUAUGUAUUAUAUGAAUAAGGAUCGGCUAACUCCGUGCCAGCAGCCGCGGUAAUACGGAGGAUCCGAGCGUUAUCCGGAUUUAUUGGGUUUAAAGGGAGCGUAGGUGGACUGGUAAGUCAGUUGUGAAAGUUUGCGGCUCAACCGUAAAAUUGCAGUUGAUACUGUCAGUCUUGAGUACAGUAGAGGUGGGCGGAAUUCGUGGUGUAGCGGUGAAAUGCUUAGAUAUCACGAAGAACUCCGAUUGCGAAGGCAGCUCACUGGACUGCAACUGACACUGAUGCUCGAAAGUGUGGGUAUCAAACAGGAUUAGAUACCCUGGUAGUCCACACAGUAAACGAUGAAUACUCGCUGUUUGCGAUAUACAGUAAGCGGCCAAGCGAAAGCAUUAAGUAUUCCACCUGGGGAGUACGCCGGCAACGGUGAAACUCAAAGGAAUUGACGGGGGCCCGCACAAGCGGAGGAACAUGUGGUUUAAUUCGAUGAUACGCGAGGAACCUUACCCGGGCUUAAAUUGCAGUGGAAUGAUGUGGAAACAUGUCAGUGAGCAAUCACCGCUGUGAAGGUGCUGCAUGGUUGUCGUCAGCUCGUGCCGUGAGGUGUCGGCUUAAGUGCCAUAACGAGCGCAACCCUUAUCUUUAGUUACUAACAGGUUAUGCUGAGGACUCUAGAGAGACUGCCGUCGUAAGAUGUGAGGAAGGUGGGGAUGACGUCAAAUCAGCACGGCCCUUACGUCCGGGGCUACACACGUGUUACAAUGGGGGGUACAGAAGGCAGCUAGCGGGUGACCGUAUGCUAAUCCCAAAAGCCUCUCUCAGUUCGGAUCGAAGUCUGCAACCCGACUUCGUGAAGCUGGAUUCGCUAGUAAUCGCGCAUCAGCCACGGCGCGGUGAAUACGUUCCCGGGCCUUGUACACACCGCCCGUCAAGCCAUGGGAGCCGGGGGUACCUGAAGUACGUAACCGCAAGGAUCGUCCUAGGGUAAAACUGGUGACUGGGGCUAAG
rnacentral:rRNA from 1 species